UUUUUCUUAAUCAAGUGUUGGGGAUCAUGUAAAUCUGUCCUUACUGGACCUCUAAUAAAAUGGAAAUUGGGAUUCAGAACUCUUAAAGUACUUAUUCAUGUCAAUACUUUAGAAUGGUUUUAAAAUUUUGGUAGUUAUAGAAACUUCAGCAAUGAAUUUUUUUUUUAAUAUUUUCAACUUCAAGAUGAUUUUAGAAAAUAAAUGUGAAUAGUGUUUUACUUCCCUCUCUACUUGAAGUGUCUACAGGGAACAAUGAGAUAUCUGCAUUUGAUUAAUGUAACAAAAUGGAGCCUAUAGCACUAAAGUUAAAUAUCUAACUUUGUGGAACAUCUUUUAUUAAGGGAAGUGAGUUCUUUAAUCAGUGUUUCUUUAAAUUUACAUCAGUAUCAGUAUUUUGCGUCAUUCUUAGGGAAAAUCUGAAUACACAAUAAUUUUCAGAAAGGUUUUCAACUUCAAAUUGCUUAAAGGCAAAUAAAUACAGGGGAAAAAAACUCAUUUAAAUUGGACCUCAAAUUAGCCCACCUACAAAAUAAGCCCACACCUCCAAUCCUAUACCCUCACCUGCCUCCACCCAAAAAAACCCCUGGAAGAAUAAAUACUAAAAUAUUAAUAAUGGUGACCUUAGUGAUUUUGUCUUUAGGCAUUUCUGUAUAUUUUUAAAUAUCUAUAGUAAAUAUAUCAGUUUUAUUACCAUGAA
rnacentral:lncRNA from 1 species